AGCGAACGCUGGCGGCAGGCCUAACACAUGCAAGUCGAACGCCCCUUCGGGGAGUGGCGGACGGGUGAGUAACGCGUGGGAACGUGCUCUUUGGUACGGAACAACUGAGGGAAACUUCAGCUAAUACCGUAUGUGCCCCUAUUCUUAGCGGGAUGGGUGGGAAAGAUUUAUCGCCAUUGGAGCGGCCCGCGUUAGAUUAGCUAGUUGGUAGGGUAAUGGCCUACCAAGGCGACGAUCUAUAGCUGGUCUGAGAGGAUGAUCAGCCACACUGGGACUGAGACACGGCCCAGACUCCUACGGGAGGCAGCAGUGGGGAAUCUUGCGCAAUGGGCGAAAGCCUGACGCAGCCAUGCCGCGUGAAUGAUGAAGGUCUUAGGAUUGUAAAAAUUCUUUCACCGGGGACGAUAAUGACGGUACCCGGAGAAGAAGCCCCGGCUAACUUCGUGCCAGCAGCCGCGGUAAAGUCUGUACU
rnacentral:rRNA from 1 species